rnacentral:misc_RNA from 1 species
CGUAACAAGGUCUCCGUUGGUGAACCAGCGGAGGGAUCAUUACUGAGUACUACACUCUCUACCCUUUGUGAACUAUUAUACCUGUUGCUUCGGCGGCGCCCGCAAGGGUGCCCGCCGGUCUCAUCAGAAUCUCUGUUUUCGAACCCGACGAUACUUCUGAGUGUUCUUAGCGAACUGUCAAAACUUUUAACAACGGAUCUCUUGGCUCCAGCAUCGAUGAAGAACGCAGCGAAACGCGAUAUGUAAUGUGAAUUGCAGAAUUCAGUGAAUCAUCGAAUCUUUGAACGCACAUGGCGCCUUCCAGUAUCCUGGGAGGCAUGCCUGUCCGAGCGUCGUUUCAACCCUCGAGCCCCUGUGGCCCGGCGUUGGGGAUCUGCCACGGCAGGCCCCUAAAACCAGUGGCGGACCCGAAGGGCCCUCUCCUUUGCGCAGUAGCAUUCGCCUCGCAUCGGGAGUCCUCGGCGUCCUGCCUCUAAACCCCCCACAAGCCCGCUUCGGCGGCACCAAGGUGACCUCGGAUCAGGUAGGAAUACCCGCUGAACUUAAGC